GCAGGGGCUUCUGCUGAGGGCGCAGGCGGAGCUUGAGGAAACCGCAGAUAAGUUUUUUUCACUUUGAAAGAUAGAGAUUAAUACAACUACUUAAAAAAUAUAGUCAAUAGGUUACUAAGAUAUUGCUUAGCGUUAAGCUUUUAACGUAAUUUUAAUAGCUUAAGAUUUUAAGAGAAAAUAUGAAGACUUAGAAGAGUAGCAUGACGAAGGAAAAGAUAAAAGAUUUCUAAAACAUGACGGAGGUUGAGAUGAAGCUUCUUCAUGGAGUAAAAAAUGUAUUUAAAAGAAAAUUGAGAGAAAGGACUACAGAGCCCUGAAUUAAUACCAAUAGAAGGGCAAUGCUUUUAGAUUAAAAUGAAGGUGACUUAAACAGCUUAAAGUUUACUUUAAAAGUUGUAGGUGAUUAAAAUAAUUUGAAGGCGAUCUUUUAAAAAGAGAUUAAACCGAAGGUGAUUAAAAGACCUUGAAAUCCAUGACGCAGGGAGAAUUGCGUCAUUUAAAGCCUAGUUAACGCAUUUAAACGCAGACGAAAAUGGAAAGAUUAGUUGGGAGUGGUAGGAUGAAACGAUUUGGAGAAGAUAGAAGUUUGAAGUGGAAAACUGGAAGACAGAAGUACAGGAAGGCGGAGAAAAGAAUAGAGAAGAUAGGGAAAUUAGAAGAUAAAAACAUACUUUUAGAAGAAAAAAGAUAAAUUUAAACCUGAAAAGUAGGAAGCAGAAGAAAAAAGACAAGCUAGGAAACAAAAAACUAAGGGCAAAAUGUACAAACUUAGAAGAAAAUUGGAAGAUAGAAACAAGAUAGAAAAUGAAAAUAUUGUCAAGAGUUUCAGAUAGAAAAUGAAAAACAAGCUAAGACAAGUAUUGGAGAAGUAUAGAAGAUAGAAAAAUAUAAAGCCAAAAAUUGGAUAAAAUAGCACUGAAAAAGUGAGGAAAUUAUUGGUAACCAAUUUAUUUUAAAAGCCCAUCAAUUUAAUUUCUGGUGGUGCAGAAGUUAGAAGGUAAAGCUUGAGAAGAUGAGGGUGUUUACGUAGACCAGAACCAAUUUAGAAGAAUACUUGAAGCUAGAAGGGGAAGUUGGUUAAAAAUCACAUCAAAAAAGGACUGGUGUAAUUUAAAAAAAAACUAAGGCAGAAGGCUUUUGGAAGAGUUAGAAGAAUUUGGAAGGCCUUAAAUAUAGUAGCUUAGUUUGAAAAAUGUGAAGGACUUUCGUAACGGAAGUAAUUCAAGAUCAAGAGUAAUUACCAACUUAAUGUUUUUGCAUUGGACUUUGAGUUAAGAUUAUUUUUUAAAUCCUGAGGACUAGCAUUAAUUGACAGCUGACCCAGGUGCUACACAGAAGUGGAUUCAGUGAAUCUAGGAAGACAGCAGCAGACAGGAUUCCGGGAACCAGUGUUUGAUGAAGCUAGGACUGAGGAGCAAGCGAGCAAGCAGCAGUUCGUGGUGAAGAUAGGAAAAGAGUCCAGGAGCCAGUGCGAUUUGGUGAAGGAAGCUAGGAAGAAGGAAGGAGCGCUAACGAUUUGGUGGUGAAGCUAGGAAAAAGGAUUCCAGAAAGGAGCGAGUGCGAUUUGGUGAUGAAGCUAGCAGGCGGCUUGGCUUGGCAACCACACGGAGGAGGCGAGCAGGCGUUGUGCGUAGAUAGAGGAUCCUAGACCAGCAUGCCAGUGUGCCAAGGCCACAGGGAAAACGAGUGGUUGGUAAAAAUCCGUGAGGUCGGCAAUAUGUUGUUUUUCUGGAACUUAUGGUAACCUUUUAUUUAUUUUCUAAUAUAAUGGGGGAGUUUCGUACUGAGGUGUAAAGGGAUUUAUAUGGGGAACGUAGGCCGAUUUCCGGGUGUUGUAGGUUUCUCUUUUUCAGGCUUAUACUCAUGAAUCUUGUCUGAAGCUUUUGAGGGCAGACUGCCAAGUCCUGGAGAAAUAGUAGAUGGCAAGUUUGUGGGUUUUUUUUUUUUUUUUUUUUUUUUUUACGAAUUUGAGGAAAACCAAAUGAAUUUGAUAGCCAAAUUGAGACAAUUUCAGCAAAUCUGUAAGCAGUUUGUAUGUUUAGUUGGGGUAAAUGAAGUAUUUCAGUUUUGUGAAUAGAUGACCUGUUUUUACUUCCUCACCCUGAAUUCGUUUUGUAAAUGUAGAGUUUGGAUGUGUAACUGAGGCGGGGGGGAGUUUUCAGUAUUUUUUUUUUGUGGGGGUGGGGGCAAAAUAUGUUUUCAGUUCUUUUUCCCUUAGGUCUGUCUAGAAUCCUAAAGGCAAAUGACUCAAGGUGUAACAGAAAACAAGAAAAUCCAAUAUCAGGAUAAUCAGACCACCACAGGUUUACAGUUUAUAGAAACUAGAGCAGUUCUCACGUUGAGGUCUGUGGAAGAGAUGUCCAUUGGAGAAAUGGCUGGUAGUUACUCUUUUUUCCCCCCACCCCCUUAAUCAGACUUUAAAAGUGCUUAACCCCUUAAACUUGUUAUUUUUUACUUGAAGCAUUUUGGGAUGGUCUUAACAGGGAAGAGAGAGGGUGGGGGAGAAAAUGUUUUUUUCUAAGAUUUUCCACAGAUGCUAUAGUACUAUUGACAAACUGGGUUAGAGAAGGAGUGUACCGCUGUGCUGUUGGCACGAACACCUUCAGGGACUGGAGCUGCUUUUAUCCUUGGAAGAGUAUUUCCAGUUGAAGCUGAAAAGUACAGCACAGUGCAGCUUUGGUUCAUAUUCAGUCAUCUCAGGAGAACUUCAGAAGAGCUUGAGUAGGCCAAAUGUUGAAGUUAAGUUUUCCAAUAAUGUGACUUCUUAAAAGUUUUAUUAAAGGGGAGGGGCAAAUAUUGGCAAUUAGUUGGCAGUGGCCUGUUACGGUUGGGAUUGGUGGGGUGGGUUUAGGUAAUUGUUUAGUUUAUGAUUGCAGAUAAACUCAUGCCAGAGAACUUAAAGUCUUAGAAUGGAAAAAGUAAAGAAAUAUCAACUUCCAAGUUGGCAAGUAACUCCCAAUGAUUUAGUUUUUUUCCCCCCAGUUUGAAUUGGGAAGCUGGGGGAAGUUAAAUAUGAGCCACUGGGUGUACCAGUGCAUUAAUUUGGGCAAGGAAAGUGUCAUAAUUUGAUACUGUAUCUGUUUUCCUUCAAAGUAUAGAGCUUUUGGGGAAGGAAAGUAUUGAACUGGGGGUUGGUCUGGCCUACUGGGCUGACAUUAAUUACAAUUAUGGGAAAUGCAAAAGUUGUUUGGAUAUGGUAGUGUGUGGUUCUCUUUUGGAAUUUUUUUCAGGUGAUUUAAUAAUAAUUUAAAACUACUAUAGAAACUUCAGAGCAAAGGAAGUGGCUUAAUGAUCCUGAAGGGAUUUCUUCUGAUGGUAGCUUUUGUAUUAUCAAGUAAGAUUCUAUUUUCAGUUGUGUGUAAGCAAGUUUUUUUUUUAGCGUAGGAGAAAUACUUUUCCAUUGUUUAACUGCAAAACAAGAUGUUAAGGUAUGCUUCAAAAAUUUUGUAAAUUGUUUAUUUUAAAUUUAUCUGUUUGUAAAUUGUAACUGAUUAAGAAUUGUGAUAGUUCAGCUUGAAUGUCUCUUAGAGGGUGGGCUUUUGUUGAUGAGGGAGGGGAAACUUUUUUUUUUCUAUAGACUUUUUUCAGAUAACAUCUUCUGAGUCAUAACCAGCCUGGCAGUAUGAUGGCCUAGAUGCAGAGAAAACAGCUCCUUGACAGGUAUCUCUUCGUUAUCAGAAGAGUUGCUUCAUUUCAUCUGGGAGCAGAAAACAGCAGGCAGCUGUUAACAGAUAAGUUUAACUUGCAUCUGCAGUAUUGCAUGUUAGGGAUAAGUGCUUAUUUUUAAGAGGUGUGGAGUUCUUAAAUAUCAACCAUGGCACUUUCUCCUGACCCCUUCCCUAGGGGAUUUCAGGAUUGAGAAAUUUUUCCAUCGAGCCUCUUUAAAAUUGUAGGACUUGUUCCUGUGGGCUUCAAUGAUGGGAUAGUACACUUCACUCAGAGGCAUUUGCAUCUUUAAAUAAUUUCUUAAAAGCCUCUAAAGUGAUCAGUGCCUUGAUGCCAACUAAGGAAAUUUGUUUAGCAUUGAAUCUCUGAAGGCUCUAUGAAAGGAAUAGCAUGAUGUGCUGUUAGAAUCAGAUGUUAUUGCUAAAAUUUACAUGUUGUGUUGUGAUGUAAAUUGUGUAGAAAACCAUUAAAUCAUUCAAAAUAAUAAACUAUUUUUAUUAGAGAAUGUAUACUUUUAGAAAGCUGUCUCCUUAUUUAAAUACAAUACUGUUUGUCUGUAGUUUAGUGUUGGGGCAAUCUUGGGGGGGAUUCUUCUCUAAUCUUUCAGAAACUUUGUCUGCGAACACUCUUUAAUGGACCAGAUCAGGAUUUGAGCGGAAGAACGAAUGUAACUUUAAGGCAGGAAAGACAAAUUUUAUUCUUCAUAAAGUGAUGAGCAUAUAAUAAUUCCAGGCACAUGGCAAUAGAGGCCCUCUAAAUAAGGAAUAAAUAACCUCUUAGACAGGUGGGAGAUUAUGAUCAGAGUAAAAGGUAAUUACACAUUUUAUUUCCAGAAAGUCAGGGGUCUAUAAAUUGACAGUGAUUAGAGUAAUACUUUUUCACAUUUCCAAAGUUUGCAUGUUAACUUUAAAUGCUUACAAUCUUAGAGUGGUAGGCAAUGUUUUACAUUAUUGACCUUAUAUAGGGAAGGGAGGGGGUGCCUGUGGGUUUUUAAAGAAUUUUCCUUUGCAGAGGCAUUUCAUCCUUCAUGAAGCUGUUCAGGAUUUUGAAUUGCAUAUGAGUGCUUGGCUCUUCCUUCUGUUCUCCUAGUGAGUGUAUGAGACCUUGCAGUGAGUUUAUCAGCAUACUCAAAAUUUUUUUCCUGGAAUUUGGAGGGAUGGGAGGAGGGGGUGGGGCUUACUUGUUGUAGCUUUUUUUUUUUUUACAGACUUCACAGAGAAUGCAGUUGUCUUGACUUCAGGUCUGUCUGUUCUGUUGGCAAGUAAAUGCAGUACUGUUCUGAUCCCGCUGCUAUUAGAAUGCAUUGUGAAACGACUGGAGUAUGAUUAAAAGUUGUGUUCCCCAAUGCUUGGAGUAGUGAUUGUUGAAGGAAAAAAUCCAGCUGAGUGAUAAAGGCUGAGUGUUGAGGAAAUUUCUGCAGUUUUAAGCAGUCGUAUUUGUGAUUGAAGCUGAGUACAUUUUGCUGGUGUAUUUUUAGGUAAAAUGCUUUUUGUUCAUUUCUGGUGCUGGGAGGGGACUGAAGCCUUUAGUCUUUUCCAGAUGCAACCUUAAAAUCAGUGACAAGAAACAAAUUCCAAACAAGCAACAGUCUUCAAGAAAUUAAACUGGCAAGUGGAAAUGUUUAAACAGUUCAGUGAUCUUUAGUGCAUUGUUUUUGUGUGGGUUUCUCUCUCCCCUCCCUUGGUCUUAAUUCUUACAUGCAGGAACACUCAGCAGACACACGUAUGCGAAGGGCCAGAGAAGCCAGACCCAGUAAGAAAAAAUAGCCUAUUUACUUUAAAUAAACCAAACAUUCCAUUUUAAAUGUGGGGAUUGGGAACCACUAGUUCUUUCAGAUGGUAUUCUUCAGACUAUAGAAGGAGCUUCCAGUUGAAUUCACCAGUGGACAAAAUGAGGAAAACAGGUGAACAAGCUUUUUCUGUAUUUACAUACAAAGUCAGAUCAGUUAUGGGACAAUAGUAU
rnacentral:lncRNA from 1 species